CCAUAGAGUUGUAGGCUUUGCCUGCUAUCUCUUACCCAUGUCUUUUGAGUACCUUACGUUUCCUCGGUGGGGUUCGCCCACUCGAUUGGACAAACUUAAACCCUUUGCAGUUGAAAUCAGCGUCUGAAAAAACUUAAUAGUUA
rnacentral:misc_RNA from 1 species